rnacentral:rRNA from 1 species
AAACUCAAAUGAAUUGACGGGACCCGCACAAGCAGCGGAGCGUGUGGUUUAAUUCGAUGCUACACGAAGAACCUUACCAGGGUUUGACAUGCAAGUGGUAGGAAACUGAAAAGGGACCGACCUUCGGGAGCUUGCACAGGUGCUGCAUGGCUGUCGUCAGCUCGUGUCGUGAGAUGUUCGGUUAAGUCCGCUAACGAGCGCAACCCUCACUGUGUGUUAUAUGUGUCACACGGGACUGCCGGUUUUAAGCCGGAGGAAGGUGGGAUGACGUCAAGUCAGCAUGGCCUUUAUAUCCUGGGCUACACACACGCUACAAUGGUCGGUACAAUAGGUUGCCAAGCCGCGAGGCGGAGCCAAUCCAAAAAAGCCGGCCUCAGUUCAGAUUGUAGGCUGCAACUCGCCUGCAUGAAGAUGGAGUUGCUAGUAACCGCAGGUCAGCAAUACUGCGGUGAAUACGUUCCCGGGUCUU